GAUGAACGCUGGCGGCGUGCCUAAUACAUGCAAGUCGUGCGAACAGAUGAGGAGCUUGCUCCUCUGACGUUAGCGGCGGACGGGUGAGUAACACGUGGAUAACCUACCUAUAAGACUGGGAUAACUUCGGGAAACCGGAGCUAAUACCGGAUAAUAUAUUGAACCGUAUGGUUCAAUAGUGAAAGACGGUUUUGCUGUCACUUAUAGAUGGAUCCGCGCCGCAUUAGCUAGUUGGUAAGGUAACGGCUUACCAAGGCAACGAUGCGUAGCCGACCUGAGAGAAUGAUCGGCCACACUAGAACUGAGACACGGUCCAGACUCCUACGGGAGGCAGCAGUAGGGAAUCUUCCGCAAUGGGCGAAAGCCUGACGGAGCAACGCCGCGUGAGUGAUGAAGGUCUUCGGAUCGUAAAACUCUGUUAUUAGGGAAGAACAAAUGUGUAAGUAACUAUGCACGUCUUGACGGUACCUAAUCAGAAAGCCACGGCUAACUACGUG
rnacentral:rRNA from 1 species